UAUUAAGUGGCCGAAACAUUAAGCACUAGACUUUUAAUCUAGUUUAUGAUUAUUAUCAAUAAUCCUUAAUGG
rnacentral:tRNA from 1 species